GGCAACGAUGGGUAGGGGAUCUGAGAGGAUUAACCCCCACACUGGUACUGAGACACGGACCAGACUCCUACGGGAGGCAGCAGUAAGGAAUAUUGGACAAUGCCCGGAAGGGUGGUCCAGCCAUGCCGCGUGCAGGAAGACGGUCCUAUGGAUUGUAAACUGCUUUUGUAACAGAGAAAACCCUUUCACGAGUGAGAGGCUGAUAGUAUGUUAAGAAUAAGCAUCGGCUAACUUCGUGCCAGCAGCCGCGGUAAGACGAAGGAUGCAAGCGUUAUCCGGAUUUAUUGGGUUUAAAGGGAGCGUAGGUGGACCUAUAAGUCAGUGGUGAAAUAUCUCAGCUUAACUGAGAAACUGCCAUUGAUACUGUAGGUCUAGAGUACAUACGAUGUUGGCGGAAUAUGACAUGUAGCGGUGAAAUGCUUAGAUAUGUUAUAGAACACCGAUUGCGAAGGCAGCUGACAAGAAUGUAACUGACACUGAUGCUCGAAAGUGUGGGGAUCAAACAGGAUUAGAUACCCU
rnacentral:rRNA from 1 species